GGAAUUGCAGGCAUGUGCUACCUUUCAGAGCUUUCAGUGAUAACAAACAGCUGGCUGCAGUAGGUAGGUUUGCCACCCUCCGCCCAGUGCACCUUUCCUCUUGGAGAUCUGCAGUACCCUUUACUCCCCGAGGGCUCUUGGGUGGUGAGCUUUCUUGAACGGGGCAUUCUCGAAACCAUGUGACCCGUGUUUUCUUCUCUGCUGUGCCCUCUCUACGCCUGUUAAGUAUAACAGAAUCGACAUCUAGAGCCAGGCGUGGGGGCGCACGCCUGGGAUCCCAGCGCUCAGGAGGCCGAGGCAGGAGGAUGGCUGUUUGAGGCCAGCCUGGGCUACGAGUGAGACCCUGUCUCAAAAACAACAAAACAAAAACCUCCGGUCUGCUUUCCCGGAAGCCCACGGCUAGGGUGACCAGCUGAGGGCAGGGAGGGCGGAAGAGCGGGAGGAGCGAGUUCAGGCCUUGCCUCGGCAAAGCCCGCCCACCACCGUCUUCCUGCCAUCACACCCGUGUCCCGGGGGCGCCAAGAGUCAAGGCCGGCCCCCACCUGCAAAAGCGAUUGGCUGAGGGAGGGCCACGUGACCAGAGCCGGCCAAUCCCAGUGAAGUUCAGGCCUGUAUAGGGCUGCUGCGGGUGUCAGGAAGCCCUGAGUCUCACAGAAUGUGGAUGUGGAGAGGAAACUGAGCUGAAACAGGGGCUGGCUGAGAAAAAUUCACAAAGUUAUGAUCACAGAACUGUGAUCAAUGAAUAUUUGAACCCCUGGAGAAAUGUUCAGUGUACACUGUGCUCAGCUAUGUAUUCCAGGCUGGCUGUAAACUUGCAGCAAUCCUCCUGCCUCAGCCUCCUGGAUGCUGAGAUUACAGGUGUGCACUACCACGCCUGGCUAUUGUGCAUGAAUUCACCAGUGGAUUAAAUGCUUCAUGAGAUGAUCUCAAUCUAAGAUAUGCAUGCGUUCAUGAGAUAUCAGUAUACAUGGAGAGCAUGUGUGGACACAGCACCUACGCCCAAGUUGCACUUUUACUAUCAUGAAGAGAAAGAGCCUAUGUGCAUUGUUCAGGGUGCUUUCCCACAGCCCCGAGGCUGGAAACCUUGUCGUUCCCAUCUGACUGAGGAGGGGGAGCUCAGCUUUCUGCAAGGCGCCAAGGGUGAAUGUUUCAGCUCCGAGUGCCCGGCGGCCCUGCCACACGAGCCCACUACCCCCGGCGGCAGCAGGCAGCUCUCCAGGCCGUGCUCCAGUGACACUUUGUUCGUGGGCCCAGGCAACUUUCACGUGGCAGCAGGAGUCUUCUUUCGUCCUUCCCGGCAACCAGGUCGAGCGCACAGCCCACCCUGCCCUCGGGUCCUAGCCUGGCAGGUGCCUCAGGCAUGGACAGUGCGCAGCGUCUGUCUCAGCAUGUCUCUGCUCAGAGUCUGGAGAUGCCCCCCAG
rnacentral:lncRNA from 1 species